AUUGAACGCUGGCGGCAGGCCUAACACAUGCAAGUCGAACGGUAACAGGAAGAAGCUUGCUUCUUUGCUGACGAGUGGCGGACGGGUGAGGAAUGUCUGGGAAACUGCCUGAUGGAGGGGGAUAACUACUGGAAACGGUAGCUAAUACCGCAUAACGUCGCAAGACCAAAGAGGGGGACCUUCGGGCCUCUUGCCAUCGGAUGUGCCCAGAUGGGAUUAGCUAGUAGGUGGGGUAACGGCUCACCGAGGCGACGAUCCCUAGCUGGUCUGAGAGGAUGACCAGCCCCACUGGAACUGAGCCACGGUCCAGACUCCUACGGGCGGCAGCAUUGGGGACUAUUGCACAAUGCGCGCAAGCCUGAUGCAGCCAUGCCGCGUGUAUGAAGAAGGCCUUCGGGUUGUAAAGUACUUUCAGCGGGGAGGAAGGGAGUAAAGUUAAUACCUUUACUCAUUGACGUUACCCGCAGAAGAAGCACCGGCUAACUCCGUG
rnacentral:rRNA from 1 species